rnacentral:rRNA from 1 species
UUGAACGCUGGCGGCAGGCCUAACACAUGCAAGUCGAAUGGUAACAGGAAACAGCUUGCUGUUUCGCUGACGAGUGGCGGCCGGGUGAGUAAUGUCUGGGAAACUGCCUGAUGGAGGGGGAUAACUACUGGAAACGGUAGCUAAUACCGCAUAACGUCGCAAGACCAAAGAGGGGGUCCUUCGGGCCUCUUGUCCUCAGAUGUGCCCAGAUGGGAUUAGCUAGUAGGUGGGGUAACGGCUCACCUAGGCGACGAUCCCUAGCUGGUCUGAGAGGCUGACCAGCCACACUGGAACUGAGACACGGUCCAGACUCCUACGGGAGGCAGCAGUAGGGAAUAUUGCGCAAUGGGCGCAAGCCUGAUGCAGCCAUGCCGCGUGUAUGAAGAAGGCCUUCGGGUUGUAAAGUACUUUCAGCGGGGAGGAAGGGAGUAAAGUUAAUACCUGUGCUCAUUGACGUUACCCGCAGAAGAAGCACCGGCUAACUCCGUG